rnacentral:misc_RNA from 1 species
GUGGAGCUCGUGCUUCUGAUGGAUCAACUUGUCAAAUAACAUGAGGAGGGAGUAGGGGCAUGGAGUUUGGGUUGGGAUUGUAGGGAGAAGAGUUUGUUGACAAGCUCUUCUGGGUCAAAAGUGGUAGUGGGAUGAGAGAUUUUGGUGAAAGAGGAGUUUGUUAGGUUUUUUAGUCUUCUUGGGUAACUUUGGUUAAUUGAAGUUAAGAUUAGUUAACCAAGGAUAAAGAUAAAUCAUGGUUAGAAUUUUGUAUUUUAAUUUUUAAUGAUGUGUGUAUUAAAAUAAUCAUGCUAUCCUGUCACGUUAGCUGAGGUACUGGCCUUCUGU